rnacentral:rRNA from 1 species
UACGUAGGGAGCAAGCGUUGUCCGGAAUCAUUGGGCGUAAAGCGCGCGUAGGUGGCUUGGUAAGUCCGUUGUGAAAGUCAAAGGCUCAACCUUUGAAAGCCGAUGGAUACUGCGGAGCUAGAGUACGGAAGAGGCGAGUGGAAUUCCUGGUGUAGCGGUGGAAUGCGCAGAUAUCAGGAGGAACACCAAUAGCGAAGGCAGCUCGCUGGGACGUUACUGACACUGAGGCGCGAAAGCGUGGGGAGCGAACAGG